CGGGUUAAAAAAUUUGUCUAAGAAUUGUUUUAUUCGGAAUUUCCUUCAGGAAUUCCUUGAGCGAUACUUUUAGAAAUCCUUUCAGGUUGUUGCGUACCAAAGCCGCUAGCAACGAACUUCCAUCAAAAUGUAGCACGUCUAAACGGUGCAUAAGAAAUGUGUCUAUUUCAAAUAUUGAAUAAUCAAGAUUCGCUAGGUGUUAUCCCCCUUUAACGAUCAGUUUAUUGAACAAACACUAAGAUAACGUUGAACUAUUAUCUAUAUUGAAACAAUUAGGAAAAAACGUCACUUAUCAUUAGCCAGCAAGAAUUGAAGUCGUCAGGCAGUGAGGUGUGCAUAUGUGAAUUACCAAAAUUAUAUAAUAUAACUUUAUCAUAACACCUUUUUUCUACAGUUAAAGUUACAGUAAAAUUGAUAAUCCAUGCUCUUAGACCAAAAUUAUACCUAAACUUAAACAAAGAUACAAAAAGGACAGCACUCCAGCGUGAACAAAUCUAAUUUCCCUAUACAAUUUGCUUAUAACUAGAGACACUAAACGAAAUUUCUAACCCUACCGUACCCGAUCUUCUGAGUGGGAAAAUAAAGGUUAUAAUUACGGAAACGUUUAUGCAAAAUUAUUUCGUUGCAACGGCAACA